rnacentral:rRNA from 1 species
GACGAACGCUGGCGGCGUGCCUAAUACAUGCUAGUUGAGCGAUGAAGAUUGGUGCUUGCACCAAUUUGAAGAGCAGCGAACGGGUGAGUAACGCGUGGGGAAUCUGCCUUUGAGCGGGGGACAACAUUUGGAAACGAAUGCUAAUACCGCAUAAUAACUUUAAACAUAAGUUUUAAGUUUGAAAGAUGCAAUUGCAUCACUCAAAGAUGAUCCCGCGUUGUAUUAGCUAGUUGGUGAGGUAAAGGCUCACCAAGGCGAUGAUACAUAGCCGACCUGAGAGGGUGAUCGGCCACAUUGGGACUGAGACACGGCCCAAACUCCUACGGGAGGCAGCAGUAGGGAAUCUUCGGCAAUGGACGAAAGUCUGACCGAGCAACGCCGCGUGAGUGAAGAAGGGUUUCGGAUCGUAAAACUCGGUUGGUAGAGAAGAACGUUGGUGAGAGUGGAAAGCUCAUCAAGUGACGGUAACUACCCAGAAAGGGACGGCUAACUACGUG